ACCCAUCUGACUGUUCUGAGACCAUAUAGGUCAUUCAGGAACUUUCUCCAGCUGGUUUGUUGUUGGGCGGUCUUCUGCGCUUCCUUCCAGGAUGAUGAUGUUUCCUUGGGUUCUGCCUCCACAAACCUUCCCCAGCUUCCAUGAAAUCUGUAAU